rnacentral:rRNA from 1 species
AUGGCAGCGUUGGUGAUAAGGGUCAUCUUCCCAAGCGACCCAAGACGCUCGCCGCUGUUGCCGCCGACAGAUCACAAGGCCGAAGGAGGUGGUUCGUCCGAUCGAUGCGAGGGGGCAAUUUUCAUCCUGACCAUGGCGGCACCGUCCGGCCACUCGAGCCGCAGAUUGCAGUGGCCAUUCAAGGGUCUUCAUGAGAGUUUUUUCUUAGGAUCCAUUGGUUAUUGCCAGCAGCUCGCACUGGCGAGGUUGUGUGAUGUAACCGGAAGGCUCCAUUGGGAGUUUCGGUGGCUCUCAAUCCGGCCAGUUUGCAUUCAGCGGUGA